rnacentral:rRNA from 1 species
AUUGAACGCUGGCGGAAUGCUUUACACAUGCAAGUCGAGCGGCAGCACGGGGGCAACCCUGGUGGCGAGCGGCGAACGGGUGAGUAACACAUCGGAACAUGCCCAGUCGUGGGGGAUAACACUUCGAAAGAAGUGCUAAUACCGCAUACGUCCUGAGGGAGAAAGCGGGGGAUCUUCGGACCUCGCGCGAUUGGAGUGGCCGAUGUCAGAUUAGCUAGUUGGAGGGGUAAAGGCCUACCAAGGCAACGAUCUGUAGCUGGUCUGAGAGGAUGAUCAGCCACACUGGGACUGAGGCACGGCCCAGACUCCUACGGGAGGCAGCAGUGGGGAAUUUUGGACAAUGGGGGCAACCCUGAUCCAGCCAUUCCGCGUGAGUGAAGAAGGCCUUCGGGUUGUAAACUGCUUUUGUACGGAACGAAACGGCCCUCUCUAAUACAGAGGGCUAAUGACGGUACCGUAAGAAUAAGCACCGGCUAACUACGUGCCAGCCGCCGCCGUAAGAC